CUAUGAAUGUGGCUCAACUUAUCAAACUUAUUGGAAGUACAAAUGUAUAGAGGAAAUAGAGUCGUAAGAACUGUUGUUUCUUUUUUCCAAAAGGUGGAUCGAUUUUAGGCUAUUGCAUGAAAUACCUCAUAGAUAUUGAAAUCUCAAUUUAGAUAUUUCAGAAUGGAUACAGUUUGAUGGUGUAUGAAUAAGCAAGUCUCGCCUCUGACCUUGGUUAUAGAUCAUCUAAUUGGUAGAGAUGUAACAACUACAAGUCUCCGGACCUAUA
rnacentral:lncRNA from 1 species